ensembl:lincRNA Gm43757 predicted gene 43757
AAGGAGGCUGGGCUGAGGAGGAGAACCCAGCCUUUCUAAAGCCAAGGCACACCAGAAUUGAGACUAUUUUGGUAGCACCCUGAGGGUGUUGUACGAGGCCCCUGGAGUGUAGAAGGACCCACUGAGGAUCCAGCAACCCUUGACAGAAUGGCCUAAGUUUAGAUAGGACCAGUGCUCUGUCGUGAAUGGAGUGAGAACCAAAACCUCCAGGAUGCAUCCAGCGGUGUGUUUCCACGGGGAUUAUAAAUCCAGUCCAGUUGACAAUAAAGGUUAGCCACCACUCGGCCAUCACACUCCCACUUGGCACUUCCUUCCAUUCUGAGCACACCAGAAUCGUCCUUGGGGCUGAUGGCCCCACGAAACAGAAUUGUUCCAGGGAUGAAGCCUUUGAUGGAUUGGCUGCUCUGCUGGCUGCUUUGGUAGAAUGGGUCAUAAAUAUUAACAGGCUGACAAACAUGUCAUGUCACACCUGUGACCAAGAAACACCCAGGCUUCUACCACUUUGUUCUUUUGAUAAACACCAUCUCCUUCUCUCCUGAACUUGCUCUGAUGGGUCUAUUCCUCCACCACCCUCCUCAGAGGACCAGGGUUCAGUUCCCAACACCCCUAUCAGGUGCUGGAAAGAUAGAUGUCACCAAGUCCUCCGGC